rnacentral:lncRNA from 1 species
UGGCAGGAACAGUAAACAUCAUGCAUUUGUAUGAUUCAGUUCGUAUAAUUAUAAAAAAUAUGUCGAUUUGGUUUCAAUUGAUGGUAUCAAUAGGUUAUUGAAGCCGGUAAUUUUAUCAUUCAGUUUAUAGUUGAGAUUCUGUUCGCUUAUACUUAAUAACUUUGCCACAGGCAGACUGCGUCAUCUUGUCAGAGUUGUGUCGGUCAAAAACAACUUAAGGCCCUUUUCCACUUCGACCGUAUGGUAAUGUACUGUAG